UCUUUGCAGGACAAGGCUUAGCAUUCGUAGUCUAUCCAGAGGCCCUCGCAUCAUUUUGGUUUCCGCACUUGUGGUCCGUCAUCUUCUUCUUUAUGCUCUUCAUCCUGGGCAUCGACAGCGAGUUUCCACUUCUGCAAACUGCGCUCACUGUGCUGUCAGACACAUUUCCAUGGCUUGAAAAUCACCGAGCUACGCUGUCGAUAGUGUCCUGCACUUUGUGCUUCUUCAUCGGGAUUACAAACGUUACCGACGGCGGCCAGUAUGUCCUCAACCUGACGGACACUUACAGCGCAGGCCUCUCUCUCAUAUUUAUCGGGUUUUGCGAAGUCACAGCUGUUAUGUGGAU